GAUAGAUACGACCUCCAUGCAUACAUCCUGUUGGAAGGGAAGAGAAGAGAAGUGGAACCAGAACCAGAGAGGAUGGGCUAAUUGGCCAGGUCCUUGGAGGUCAGGUACCUUGAACCUUUCCAAGAUUCUCUCUCUUUCUCUCUCUCUGUCUCACACACACACACACAUACCAGCUCUCACUGAAAUUAAACUAUAACUGAAGACAUCACACACACACACACACACACACACCAGCUGUCACUAAAAUUAAACUAUAACUGAAGGCAUCACACACACACACACACACAUACCAGCUCUCACUGAAAUUGAAGCCAAACUAUAACUGAAGAUAUCACACACACACACACACACACACACCAGCUCUCACUGAAAUUAAACUAUAACUGAAGACAAAUCCUGCAGGGUCACACACCAACUGCUGUUUGGGAAGUUCUUCAAUGAUUCCAACCUGGAUUCCUCUUACUUUACUUGGAUGCCAGCCACAACAUUCCUGGGAUCCUUUUCCAUUUAAAUAAGUUAGGGCUUGGAGAUGGGGAGUGGGAGGAGCAUGGGGAAGCCAAGGCCCAGAGAAGGUAAGCAACCGUCCUAAGAUAACACAGCACUCUUGAGAUGACAGCUCAGGUAUGCAGUCUGCCGGCCCAAGCCCCAUGGAACUGUGGGAAGGAACGCAAGUGAUUCUCCUAUUGGACAGGGGCAAGUGCAUGGAAAAGGAUGAUGGUGAGGCUGAAAGCAGGAAAAGAUUUGACCCAUCUCCCAGGUAUGAGCAGCCAUCUCGGGGCACAGGAUCCUAGAAUCCUCAGCAAAGGCAGAAAAAUGGCUAAGAUGACCCUCACCAACCCAUAUGUGCCUUAUCAGCCCAAGAGUGAGUCAGCAGGUGCGGCCAGCACCUUCCGUGUCUGGAAAAGAGACAGGAUUGGGAGAAAAUGUGGGAGGUUGCCCUUUCCCUGGGCCAAAUUAGAAUUCUAACCAAGGAGCUUCUUCAGUCUUGCUGGAGAGUAAAGUUCCCAGAGGGGCAGGGAAGAGUCCCAGAUUCUACAGAGCUUCCCCUGGAAAUGUCAGUGCAUCCAUCAGCUUUGCUCUUGAGCCUUGCUGAGUCUGAGGUGGACAAAGUGACCCACCCUCCUGGCCAUCUUAGUGCCCACCUUGGAUCGGGGGAAAAGGGGGUGGCACGCCGAGGCAGAAGUCCCAGAAGUCAGGGCAGCAGUCGGAGACCGUGCGGUUGCAGAAGAGGUCACAGUAACAGAUGGCGCCCAGGUAGGGCAGGGCACAGUCGUCGGCACGGCCGCGGCAGCACAGGUCCUGCUCCUGGCAGUACCGGCCUCCCGCGUCCCGGAUGCCCCGCAGGUGCAGACCCGGUGCUAGCUCCCGGCGCCCACGACCCUGCUGGGCACCCAGAGCCAAGUGGCCAGCCAGCGGCAGCAACAGCAGUAGCCCCAGUGGACAUCGCCACAUGGUGGCUCCUGGGCCCUGGGGGGCAGAGAUGGUGGGCAGCAGAGACUCC
rnacentral:lncRNA from 1 species